AUACUUACCUAGCAGAGAAAAUGCCAGGAUCACGAAGGUGGCUUUCCCCAGGGCGAGGCUCACCAUUGCACUCCCGUGGUGCUCACCCCCGUGAUUAACCCAAAUGUGGUUAACUAGAGUGCGAUGUUUUUGUUACCAGGGGGGACUGCUUUCGCGAUAUUCCCUU